UACGUAGGGGGCAAGCGUUAUCCGGAAUUACUGGGUGUAAAGGGAGCGUAGACGGUAAUGUAAGUCUGGAGUGAAAGGCGGGGGCCCAACCCCCGGACUGCUCUGGAAACUAUGUUACUAGAGUGCAGGAGAGGUAAGCGGAAUUCCUAGUGUAGCGGUGAAAUGCGUAGAUAUUAGGAGGAACACCAGUGGCGAAGGCGGCUUACCGGACUGUAACUGACGUUGAGGCUCGAAAGCGUGGGGAGCAAACAGG
rnacentral:rRNA from 1 species